rnacentral:rRNA from 1 species
CGGACGGGUGAGUAACGCGUGGGUAACCUGCCUUCAAGAGGGGGAUAACAUUCUGAAAAGAAUGCUAAUACCGCAUGACAUAUCGGAACCACAUGGUUUUGAUAUCAAAGAUUUUAUCGCUUGAAGAUGGACCCGCGUCCGAUUAGUUAGUUGGUGAGGUAACGACUCACCAAGACCGCGAUCGGUAGCCGGACUGAGAGGUUGAACGGCCACAUUGGGACUGAGACACGGCCCAGACUCCUACGGGAGGCAGCAUG